rnacentral:rRNA from 1 species
CUGAAUAACUCAUCACAUCGCACGGUCUUGCACCACCGACCCAUCUUUCAAGUGUCUGCCUUAUCAACUGUGGAUGGUUGUUUAUGCACCUACCAUGGUUGUAACGGGUAACGGAGAAUAAGGGUUCCACUCCAGGGAGGGAGCCUGAUAAACGGCUACCACAUCCAAGGAAGGCAGCAGGCGCGUAAAUUACCCUCUCUCGGCACGAGGAGGUAGUGACGAAAAAUAACCAGACGGUUCUCAUUGAGGUCCGUUAUCGGAAUGAGUACAAUCCAAACCCUUUAACAAGGAUCUAUCGGAGGGCAAGUCUGGUGCCGGCACCCUCGGUAAUUCCAGCUCUGAAGGGGUAUACCUACGUUGUUGCGGUUAAAAC